rnacentral:tRNA from 1 species
CAGGGAGACAAUAAAUUGAUUGUGAUGUCUAAGUUAUUUAUUCUUAGGCCGCAAUCCUGUCACCUUAAGGUCGAUCGGUACCUCAGAUUUUUGAAUUAUUUUUAUAAUUGAUUCUUUGAUUUCAGUUCCUAAACUUGUCUAGGUCACACCCAACAAAGGUUUCUCCUGGGCCAUUAGCUCAGGUGGUUAGAGCGCACCCCUGAUAAGGGUGAGGUCCCUGGUUCAAGUCCAGGAUGGCCCAUUCGUUGUUGGGGGUAUAGCUCAGUUGGUAGAGCGCCUGCUUUGCAAGCAGGAUGUCAGCGGUUCGAGUCCGCUUACCUCCACUGAAAACUAUCCUGAUAACUAAAUUCUGGAGAAAAAAUUGUAGAUGUGGCUUAGAAUUGUCUAUUUGAAGAGAACCUAGCUUCUUGUCAUCUUUUUAUAGUUGAUAAAAUGCUGGGCUCGCAUGGAUUAUUUCCAUGAGAAUUCAGUAGAACCUUGAAAACUGCAUAGAUUAGAAAGAAUAAAGCAUCUCAUGGAUGCAUAAUUCUAUUUUUAUAAUUUAGCCUUAAAACUAAAUUAUUUAAUCCUAGAAUUCAUGUUUAAUUCUUGAGUAAAAGCCGAGCACAAUUGAUUUUGUGAUUGUAUUUAA